rnacentral:rRNA from 1 species
ACUCCUACGGGAGGCAGCAGUGGGGAAUUUUGGACAAUGGGCGCAAGCCUGAUCCAGCAAUGCCGCGUGCAGGAAGAAGGCCUUCGGGUUGUAAACUGCUUUUGUCAGGGAAGAAAUCUUCUGGGCUAAUACCCCGGGAGGAUGACGGUACCUGAAGAAUAAGCACCGGCUAACUACGUGCCAGCAGCCGCGGUAAUACGUAGGGUGCGAGCGUUAAUCGGAAUUACUGGGCGUAAAGCGUGCGCAGGCGGCUUUGCAAGACAGAGGUGAAAUCCCCGGGCUCAACCUGGGAACUGCCUUUGUGACUGCAAGGCUAGAGUACGGCAGAGGGGGAUGGAAUUCCGCGUGUAGCAGUGAAAUGCGUAGAUAUGCGGAGGAACACCGAUGGCGAAGGCAAUCCCCUGGGCCUGUACUGACGCUCAUGCACGAAAGCGUGGGGAGCAAACAGGAUUAGAUACCCUGGUAGUCCACGCCCUAAACGAUGUCAACUGGUUGUUGGACGGCUUGCUGUUCAGUAACGAAGCUAACGUGUGAAGUUGACCGCCUGGGGAGUACGGCCGCAAGGUUGAAACUCAAAUGAAUUGACGG